AGGGCAUGCCUAAGAGUUCACAUCGAUGAGAAGGUUUGACACAUCGAUGUCUGCUCACCACCUGGGGCUUUAGUACUAUAUAUGUUUCAUGUAUUGGGUUCACCCAUUAAAGCGGUACGGAACUGUGUUAGAACGUCAUGAGACAGUUC
rnacentral:ncRNA from 1 species